UUAUUGGAGGCGUGCCCGUAAGCUUGGC
rnacentral:sRNA from 1 species